rnacentral:rRNA from 1 species
UCGAGGAUCUUCGGCAAUGGGCGCAAGCCUGACCGAGCGACGCCGCGUGCGCGAUGAAGGCCUUCGGGUUGUAAAGCGCUGUCGAGGGGGAGGAACGCCGCAAGGCCUGACCGACCCCUGGAGGAAGCACGGGCUAAGUUCGUGCCAGCAGCCGCGGUAAGACGAACCGUGCGAACGUUGUUCGGAAUCACUGGGCUUAAAGGGCGCGUAGGCGGGCCGUCAAGUCAGGGGUGAAAUCCUCCGGCUCAACCGGAGAACAGCUUUUGAUACUGGCGGCCUCGAGGGGGGUAGGGGCAUGUGGAACUUCCGGUGGAGCGGUGAAAUGCGUAGAUAUCGGAAGGAACGCCGGUGGCGAAAGCGACGUGCUGGACCCUUUCUGACGCUGAGGCGCGAAAGCCAGGGGAGCAAACGG